GUCUACGGCCAUGCCACCCUGAACAAGCCCGAUCCCGUCUGAUCUCAGAAGCUAAGCAGGGUGGGGCCUGGUUAGUACUUGGAUGGGAGACCACCUAGGAAGACCAGGUGUUGUAGGCA
rnacentral:rRNA from 1 species